GACGAACCUCUGGUGUUCCGGUUGUCACGCCAGUGGCAUUGCCGGGUAGCUAUGUUCGGAAUAGAUAACCGCUGAAAGCAUCUAAGCGGGAAACUAGCCUCAAGAUGAGAUCUCACUGGAACCUUGAGUUCCCUGAAGGGCCGUCUCAAG
rnacentral:rRNA from 1 species